GACGAACGCUGGCGGCGUGCUUAACACAUGCAAGUCGAACGGAAAGGCCCUGAGUUUGCGGGGUGUACGAGUGGCGAACGGGGGAGUAAAACGUGAGUAAAACGCCCUUGUCAGUGGGAUAAAUUCAGGAGAAAGGGGAUAAUACAGGGUAGGAGAUACUGAUGCGCGGUGGGGGUUGGAAAGUUUCGGCGGUUUGGGCUGGACUCGCGGCUUACCCGCUAGUUGGUGGGGUAGUGGCGUACCAAGGCUUUGACGGGUAGCCGGCCUUGGAGGGUGACCGGCCACCUUGCUCCUGCGGUACGGCCCAGACUCCUACGGGAGGCAGCAGGCGGGAACCUUGCGCAGUGGGCGGAAGCCUGUUGCGGCAACGCCGCGUGCGGGAUGACGGCCUUCUGGUUGUAAACCGCUUUCGCCUGUGACGAAGCGUGAGUGACGGUAAUGGGUAAAGAAGCACCGGCUAACUACGUG
rnacentral:rRNA from 1 species